rnacentral:rRNA from 1 species
UACCAGCACCCCGAGUGGUCGGGACGUUUUAUUGGGCCUAAAGCAUCCGUAGCCGGUUCUACAAGUCUUCCGUUAAAUCCACCUGCUUAACAGAUGGGCUGCGGAAGAUACUAUGGAGCUAGGAGGCGGGAGAGGCAAGCGGUACUCGAUGGGUAGGGGUAAAAAUCCGUUGAUCCAUUGAAGACCACCAGUGGCGAAGGCGGCUUGCCAGAACGCGCUCGACGGUGAGGGAUGAAAGCUGGGGGAGCAAACCGGAUUAGAAACCCCG